rnacentral:rRNA from 1 species
UACGGGGGGGGCAAGCGUUGUUCGGAAUUACUGGGCGUAAAGGGCUCGUAGGCGGCCAACUAAGUCGGACGUGAAAUCCCCAGGCUCAACCCUGGGAACUGCGUCUGAUACUGGAUGGCUUGAAUCCGGGAGAGGGAUGCAGAAUUCCAGGUGUAGCGGUGAAAUGCGUAGAUAUCUGGAGGAAUACCGGUGGCGAAGGCGGCAUCCUGGACCAAUAUUGACGCUGAGGAGCGAAAGCUAGGGGAGCAAACGGG